GCGAGGCAAAACCAUCGCACUCUCCUCCUCCUCCUCCCCCUCCCUUCGCCGUCAAAUACUUGAGCAUGAUUCAUACUCAUCGGAAGAAAUCGAGAGAGGGCGCUGACAUUUUUUCCCUCUCAGUCUCUCUCUUCGACCGUCGAGGCUUCGACGACCCUCGCUCUCAUCGACGGUAACUCGGUGACGGACUGCAGUCGAAUAGUUGAUCGAUCUGUCUGGGUUUUUACUUUCUGGGUUUUCAAUCAAUCUCUCAAGUGUUCGAAUAGCCUCGAACUCUUGGUUGCUCUCUUCCUCAAGCAGCAAAGCAGAAAUUCUUGGUUGCUUUCCGGGGAUCACAGGAGCCACAAGCUCAGCCACGUCCCGAGGAUGCUCCAGCACAGCAGUCCUAUUAUCCUCACUCUGUUAACUCCCCGAGCUCUUCUCGUCCUUCAACUCCGAGUUGAACCUCUUCUUCUUCCAAUUUGAGUUCUAGGGGUAACUCCCCGUCACCUGUUUCUCCCACUGAAGUUGCUGGUGUUAUUGCUUCUUUGAAGGACAAAAGAUGAAAACAAUUAAUUCUCUGGAGAUUCAGUGUUACCACUGUUCAAAAUGAUUUGAAACUUCAGCCACUAAAGGUCAUGGUAACAAGCCUGUGAUUGCGGUUACAUAAAUGGUCAAGAGCAACAGUUUGCUGCAGAUGAAAUCUCAGCCAUGGUUCUUGCAAGGAUGCAAGAGACUGCUGAGGCCUAUUUCAGCUCAGCUGUUAAAAAUGCAGUUGUUACUGUGCCAGUUUACUUCAAUACCAAAGACACUGGCAUGCUGCUGUUCUGCUGGCCUAAAUGUGAGUUGUAUUAUCAACGAACCAACUGCAGCAGCUAUUGCAUAUUGCUUUGAUAAGAAGUCGGGUUGGUAUAGUUAGAUAAAUGUGAUGGUAUUUGAUUUGGGCGGUGGUACUUUAGAUGUUCCUCUACUUGCCACAGGGGGAUGGUAAUUUUGAAGUGAAGGCUACUGCUGGAGACAAUGACCUUGGUGUGAAGACUCCGAUAGCAGAAUGGUAAAUUAGUGGAAAUUCCAGAGUUCUUGAGGCAUUGAUAAAUAUAUGUGGGAGAGAGAAGAGGAGACGUUCAUCUAUGUCUACAAGUGAGAUUGUCUGUUUGGAUUCGAGUAAUCAUUUCCAGAAUUCUCAAGGUGCAACAGCAAUUGAAAAUUUUUUUCAAGGCGAAGAAGUUGUGCAAGAACAUUAAUCUAGAUGAGGUACUGCCAUAGGUUGCUGCCAAAGCUGCAGUGUUGAGUGGGAAUGGGAAUGGGAAUGGGCCACCAGACUCUUGGAUGUCACCGUUCUGUCACUUGGCGUGGAGAGUGCAAUGGGAUGUGCCAUGAUGGUUGUUAUUUCAAUAAACACAUGAACUCCCACCGAGAACUGUGCUUUUAGUACAUUUGUCGAUUACAAAACUAGUGGCAGAUUCUCUGUUUAUGAAGGUGAUCAGAGUACGAAGGUAGUGAAUAACAACUUUGUGGGUGAAUAUGGUCGAUGGAAAAUAUCAAGCUCCCAAGGGUGUGCCCCAGUUUCAGACUUGCUUUAGUAUUGAUGCCAAUGAUAUCUUGAGUGUCUCUGCUGAGGAUAUUAACAGCGGCCACAUGAAAGGGAUUAUAAUUAACAGAGGCAGAACAACUUUUGAUGGAAUUGGGAAGAUGAGGUGAGGAUUUAGAAUUUAUUGCCUACUAAGACUUAAUAAGCAUGUUUUGUAAAAAUCAGUUUGAUUUUAGAGGGAUUACUUGUAUUUCAACAUAGAUACAAGUCAUACAACUGAAAUGUUGAAGCUGAUUCUAAAGGAGUUGCUGAUGUGCUGAAUGCUGAAGGGGAGUGGCUAGUUUCAUGAAAUGAACAAUUAGUUAUUAUCUCACGCUUCAGUUGAUACAUGAAAUUAAAAUGGUUGAAGAGAACAUUUGUUCUUUGUUCAUCUGAAAAUGAAGUAUAUAUUUGCCAUUAAUUCAUGACAUCAAGCAACUGGUAUUUUCCCUAGUGAUCACUCCAAGUCUCA